rnacentral:lncRNA from 1 species
AAUUUUUCUAGAAUGGAUUUAAAAAUAAGAGAAAUUGCAAGACUAGGACCAGUUAAAAGUUACCAUGGGCUAAGAAGCUGGGCAGACUUGAAUGAACGAAGACAAGAACAUUUGUUUCACACCUGUAGUAAAUUAAUAUUUUAUAAUUCUUGCAUCACUGACUUGAUGGACGUGAGUCUGAGUGAACUCCGGGAGUUGGUGAUGGACAGGGAGGCCUGGCGUGCUGCGAUUCAUGGGGUCACAAAGAGUCGGACACGACUGAGCAAUUGAACUGAACUGAAAUAUUUGUGUUUAAGCCAGUCUUAUUUUUGUUCCAUAUACAUUAAUUACAUAUACACACA